AAAAGAGGUUCCCUUUCUGUUGUCAUCAGAUAAUUAGAUGCAGAUCAAAUGCUUGCCCAACCCUGAGUGACAUGCUUUUGUUGGCGAAUACCUUUUACAUGCUGCAUACCUGAUUGUGGUGGUUCUUUUUAUCUCUGCAUAUAGCAUGAGGAGUGCCUAUAGUAACUUAUGUCAAAUAUAAAAACUCGGACGGUAGAAGAAAGACCGCCACACAGUAUUAAGAAAAGCAACUAUCUUGCGUCUGGGUUUCAGGUGUCAAAACUUUAUGCUCUCUUGACUUUCAGGUGUCAAAACUUAAGAAAAGCGACUGGGGCAGUAAAAUCUUUGUCCAACCCUUGAGUUUACUGCUUACAGCAGGCACUGUCUUGUGCCUUUAUGCUCUCUCUCUCUCUCUCUCCCCCCUCUCAUAUGUCACAGGUAGCUGUAUGCAUUAUGUACCCAGUCGUGUUUCUUAAAAUAAAGAAAGCUAGCUGUAUGCAUCGGUACCUGAAGCUUGCAGUCUAAUGUGUUGUGCAGGCUGAGAGGAAGCAGGAGAAGAAAGGGUGAUGUGUGCCACUGUCCUUGCCAUUCUGAUUUUGGAGAUCAUUUUCUUCUGACAUACAUACCUAUCUCGUCUUAAUGGUUGAUGGAUGGCAGCACUUCUCCGGUCAUGUGUAGUCGGGAGAUGCAACGGGAUCUUGUGUGGGGGAAACAGCCAGCAGCGCUGGUGCUGCUGAUCAUUGUUUACCUGCUGAUUAUUAUUGCUGCCUGCGCUC
rnacentral:lncRNA from 7 species